rnacentral:rRNA from 1 species
UGGGGAAUAUUGGACAAUGGAGGAAACUCUGAUCCAGCAAUUCUGUGUGUGUGAAGAAGGUUUUAGGACUGUAAAACACUUUUAGUAGGGGAGAAAAAAAUGACGGUACCUACAGAAGAAGCAACGGCUAAAUACGUGCCAGCAGCCGCGGUAAUACGUAUGUUGCGAGCGUUAUCCGGAAUUAUUGGGCUUAAAGGGCAUCUAGGCGGUAAGACAAGUUGAAGGUGAAAACCUGUGGCUCAACCAUAGGCUUGCCUACAAAACUGUUGAACUAGAGUACUGGAAAGGUGGGUGGAACUACACGAGUAGAGGUGAAAUUCGUAGAUAUGUGUAGGAAUGCCGAUGAUGAAGAUAACUCACUGGACAGAAACUGACGCUGAAGUGCGAAAGCUAGGGGAGCAAACAGG